UUGGUGACCAGAUCCUCAAUGCGAGGAUGAUGGCCAACAACUUGCAAGUUGGGGUGGAAGUGGAGAAAGGUGAAGAAGAUGGAUUGUAUACUAAAGAGAGUGUCUGCAAAGCUGUGAGCAUUGUGAUGGAUGAUGAGAACGAAACCAGUAAAAAAGUCAGGGCUAACCAUGCUAGGAUUAGAGAGAUGGUGAUGGAUGAUGAGAAUGAAACCAGCAAAAAAGUCAGGGAUAACCAUGCUAGGAUUAGAGAGACACUGCUCAACAAAGAUUUAGAGUCUUCUUAUAUUGACAAUUUCUGCAAAAAGCUUCAAGAGCUUGUUGAUGAAAAACCCA
rnacentral:lncRNA from 1 species